UAUGCGCGUGGUACGUCUGGGGUCGUGCGUGGUACGCUUGGGGUACGCGCAUAGUAUAGAUUUUAUCAAAUUUUUAUUUUUCUUUUCUUUAAGCAACGGUUCCCAAUCUCAUUUUUUUAAAUGUUUAUUUUUUUAAUUAAGAUUCACUUUAGAUUAGAACUAAUUCAGUUCCCUUUUUAUUUCUUUUUAAAAGUAGUAGUAUAGUACAUUAGUACUACUUCUAAUUUU
rnacentral:lncRNA from 1 species